rnacentral:lncRNA from 1 species
CCUAUCCUGAUUCCUUGAACCUAAUUGGAUUAGGUUUGAACCUUUAGACAUUUAGGUGGCUUGAUUAAUUAGUUUGAAAGAGUUGCAUCCUAAUCCAACCACCCCCUCACUUCUCCAUGCCAUUUAUUCCACACCAUUUAAUGUUGUUGCCCAUAAUAAGUAGCACCCAAAAGGAAGAGUCCUUCUGGGCUACUCCUCUUAACUCCUUUACUUAAAUUCCCACGCUUUUCUUUAUUUCACGUGCCAUCAGAUGGUUUUUGAGAAUAAAUGGGCGCAGGAGAGGAGUCCUUCUGUAUGAAGGCUCUUCUAUACCAUAAGUUAUUGCACGAUGAAUUAAAUCACCACAUGAGUAAACCAAGCACC